UCAUAUGCUUGYCUCAAAGAUUAAGCCAUGCAUGUCUCAGUGCAAGCCACAUUAAGGUGAAACCGCGAAUGGCUCAUUAAAUCAGUUAUGGUUCCUUAGAUGGUGGACAGUUACUUGGAUAACUGUGGUAAUUCUAGAGCUAAUACAUGCAACUCGGUCCCGACCGGAAGCGGAAGGGACGCUUUUAUUAGAUCAAAACCAAUCGGGCGCUCGCGUCCGUUUGCCUUGGUGACUCUGAAUAAAUUGUGGCAGAUCGCACGGUCUCCGUACCGGCGACGCAUCUUUCAAAUGUCUGCCUUAUCAACUGUCGAUGGUAGGUUCUGCGCCUACCAUGGUUGUAACGGGUAACGGGGAAUCAGGGUUCGAUUCCGGAGAGGGAGCCUGAGAAACGGCUACCACAUCCAAGGAAGGCAGCAGGCGCGCAAAUUACCCACUCCCGGCACGGGGAGGUAGUGACGAAAAAUAACGAUACGGGACUCAUCCGAGGCCCCGUAAUCGGAAUGAGCACACUUUAAAUCCUUUAACGAGUAUCCAUUGGAGGGCAAGUCUGGUGCCAGCAGCCGCGGUAAUUCCAGCUCCAAUAGCGUAUAUUAAAGUUGUUGCGGUUAAAAAGCUCGUAGUCGGACUUGUGUCACACGCUGCCGGUUCACCGCCCGUCGGUGUCUAACUGGCAUGCACGUGCUGACGUCCUGCCGGUGGCCCGAGCCGGGCCGGGAGCUCUUGUGCGGAUUUCCUUCGCGGGGUCCGCCUCGAACCCGGUUCUUGGGGAGGGCCUACUCAUACCCCUCGCGGUGCUCUUAACCGAGUGUCUCGAUGGGCCGGCACGUUUACUUUGAACAAAUUAGAGUGCUUAAAGCAGGCAGCAGCCGCCUGAAUACUGAGUGCAUGGAAUAAUGGAAUAGGACCUCGGUUCUAUUUUGUUGGUUUUCGGAAUCCCCGAGGUAAUGAUCAAUAGGGACAGACGGGGGCAUUCGUAUUGCGACGUUAGAGGUGAAAUUCUUGGAUCGUCGCAAGACGGACCGAAGCGAAAGCAUUUGCCAAGAAUGUUUUCUCUGAUCAAGAACGAAAGUUAGAGGUUCGAAGGCGAUCAGAUACCGCCCUAGUUCUAACCAUAAACGAUGCCAGCCAGCAAUCCGCCGAAGUUCCUCCGAUGACUCGGCGGGCGGCUUCCGGGAAACCAAAGCUUUUGGGUUCCGGGGGAAGUAUGGUUGCAAAGCUGAAACUUAAAGGAAUUGACGGAAGGGCACCACCAGGAGUGGAGCCUGCGGCUUAAUUUGACUCAACACGGGAAACCUCACCAGGCCCGGACACCGGGAGGAUUGACAGAUUGAUAGCUCUUUCUUGAUUCGGUGGGUGGUGGUGCAUGGCCGUUCUUAGUUGGUGGAGCGAUUUGUCUGCUUAA
rnacentral:rRNA from 1 species